rnacentral:rRNA from 1 species
UACGUAGGGUGCGAGCGUUGUCCGGAAUUAUUGGGCGUAAAGAGCUCGUAGGCGGCCUGUCGCGUCGGAUGUGAAAGCCCGGGGCUUAACCCCGGGUCUGCAUUCGAUACGGGCAGGCUAGAGUGUGGUAGGGGAGAUCGGAAUUCCUGGUGUAGCGGUGAAAUGCGCAGAUAUCAGGAGGAACACCGGUGGCGAAGGCGGAUCUCUGGGCCAUUACUGACGCUGAGGCGCGAAAGCCAGGGGAGCAAACGGG